AGAGUUUGAUCAUGGCUCAGGAUGAACGNNNCGNNNGCUUAAUACAUGCAAGUCAAGGGGGUAGCAAUAAAANNGGCGNACGGGUGAGUAACACGUACACAACAUACCAUAUACUGAGGUAUAGCUUCGGGAAACUGAAGGUANUCCCUCAUAGUAUUGUGAAAGGGCAUCUUUUUACAAUUAAAGUUUCGACGGUAUAUGAUUGGUGUGCGUUUGAUUAGCUAGUUGGUAGGGUAACGGCCUACCAAGGCAACGAUCAAUAGCUGGCGUGAGAGCGCGACCAGCCACACUGGAACUGAGACACGGUCCAGACUCCUACGGGAGGCAGCAGUAGGGAAUAUUGGACAAUGGGCGAAAGCCUGAUCCAGCCAUGNCNCGUGAUANAUGAAGGCCCUCUGGGUUGUAAAUAUCUUUUAUCUGGGAAGAAACACUUCUAUUCUUAGAAGCUUGACGGUACCAGAGGAAUAAGCACCGGCUAACUCCGUGCCAGCAGCCGCGGUAAUACNGAGGGUGCAAGCGUUAUCCGGAUUCACUGGGUUUAAAGGGUGCGUAGGUGGGUUGAUAAGUCAGUGGUGAAAGCUCCGAGCUUAACUUGGAAACUGCCAUUGAUACUGUCAGUCUUGAAUGUCGUANAGGUAAGCGGAAUGUUGCAUGUAGCGGUGAAAUGCUUAGAUAUGUUACAGAACACCAAUUGCGAAGGCAGCUUUACUAUGCGAUGAUUGACGCUGAGGCACGAAGCGUGGGGAGCAAACAGGAUUAGAUACCCCGGUAGU
rnacentral:rRNA from 1 species